rnacentral:lncRNA from 1 species
GGCAGUCCAGCCGCAGGGGCCACCCGAACAGUCUCUCCUCCUCACAGAAGCCUGCUUCUCACCUGGGGCGGGUGGGUUCUGCACCACCCUCCCACCCUCCUUCCUCCGUGUGGACGAUAGAGCCACAUCCAGCACCACGGACAGCUCCCGGGCGCCUUCAUCUCCUCGUCCUCCAGGCAGCACAAGCCAUUGUGGAAUCUCCACCAGGUGUACAGAACGGUGCCUCUGCGUCCUGCCACUCAGGACCUCUCAAGUCCCCGAUGUGAUGGCUCCUCAGCAUGAUCAGGAACCAAAAAGAAGAAUGUACUUCAUCUGGUUGGGCUGGAUUCCCUCUGAUAAGCCUUCCCAGUUGACUGAAAGAUGAGGCUAGGCUCUAGCAAGUUGAAGUCAAACCAGCUCCUUCAAGAAGCUUUGAGCAGAAUGAAGUGGGGAGGACCCAGCUUCCAGCCCAGGAAGCCCACUGUACCUGGAGCCAUCUGGGAUAAGACUUUGACCCAUGACUCCCAUAUCCACAGCCUGUCCAUCCUAGCCCAUCCCAGUUUAUCCUGUAUCAUUUGAGCUGGGAUUCCCACAUCCUCUGAGUUGGAAGUCCCAUCUCAAGUCUUCAAUAAAGACUCUUGAAUAUUGAAUCACAUUAA